rnacentral:rRNA from 1 species
UACGUAGGGUGCGAGCGUUAAUCGGAAUUACUGGGCGUAAAGCGUGCGCAGGCGGCUUGCCAAGUCAGAUGUGAAAGCCCCGGGCUCAACCCGGGAACGGCGUUUGAAACUGGCAGGCUAGAGUUUGGCAGAGGGGGGUGGAAUUCCACGUGUAGCGGUGGAAUGCGUAGAGAUCCGGAAGAACACCAGUGGCGAAGGCGGCCCGCUGGGCAGUGGCUGACGCUGAGGCGCGACAGCGUGGGGAGCAAACAGG